UAAAUCUAGCUCAUACUGUUUUUGCACUCUCUUUAAGUUUCCCCACAUCUGUUGGGACAAUAUUGCUUAGAGUAGAAAAAUCAUGUGGGCUGUUUUUCUUGUUGGUUUUGAUAAAAAUUUCUUUCAGCCUUGAAAACUUAGCAUAUUGAGUGCAUGUGGUGUGGCAUACAUAAGAGCAUUGGCAUCUAUUGUUAAAUGGUGAAUGCAUUGGCUUGGAUUAGCUCUUCCUUGCAGAGCUGAUGACCUAAAGAAACCCUGCCUUUUGUUUGAUAAAUGCCAUUUCCUGUAUGAGUAGAAACUGCAAACAAUCUCUACUGCCACAGAUCCAUCCUGAUUUAUUUUUUAUUUUAUUUUUUUGCAAAGAAACAUUAGUGGGCCUGGAUUUCUUAGUUGGUGGGUUUGAUGAUAGUUAGACAAGGAAACUGCAAUUCAUUAGCCAAUCAAGCCCUACAAAAUGUUGGUCAGGGUUCCUCAAAACACUACAUUGCGUUGGCUGGCAGAGUUAUGGUCAUUGACCAGUUUGCAGUGGUCCAUGCAUUGGACUUCUGUUGCAAGACUCAGAUUCUUUCCUUGUAUAUAUAUUUUAAAUCUUGGGGAGGGAUUAGCCUGAAGAAUCCACUGUUUUCUUUUUUCAGCUUGUUUUGUUUACUGAAAUGGUCCUCUGCAUUUUUUAAAGCAGGUGAAGGAUUGGGUGUAGAAAAAAAGGUGAUUCUGCAACAUACUGGAACAAGAUCUGUUUGGUUCCCCAUUUGCAGCAAAUGGCAUCAGCUAGUGUGGUGCCUGCGACUGGAUUGAGAAACACAAGUGGAAAUGCUAUCAGCAUGGAUAGGUUGCCUGAAGAAAUGAAUGAUAUGAAGAUAAGGGAUGACAAGGAAAUGGAAACUGCUGUGGUCGAUGGAAAUGGCACAGAGACGGGUCAUAUAAUCGUGACAACUAUUGGGUGUAGAAAUGGCCAACCAAAGCAG